GGGUCGCAAGGGCGGGCUGAGCACCAACGACGAGUCCGGCGGCGAGCGCGCGGCCAGGGAGGGCAUCGACAUCGACGAGUCCAAGUUCAAGACCAAGUCCUAGAUGAUCCGUUAGCCUAGCAAGCAAGAUGACUCUGCUUAGGUCGGCUGUUGGUUUGCCCUAGCGUCCACGUACCGAAUAAUGUAGUUCAGGCGCACGUAGGCGAUCGUACGUAGUAUCAUCAUGUGUGCUUCGUAACCGGUAGUCCGUAGCUACUCUACGGUGAGUAGCGUCAGGUCAAGUCGGAAGCUGUGGCUUGGUCAGGUGGCUGGUCUGCCUCUGGGCCCAGGAGUGUCUACAGUGUCCACUGUAUCCUUGCUUCUUCAGUAAUGUAUGUCGUCUUGCUCAAAUAUGUCUUGUCUCGUCUGAUCUGUGUUGAUUCCUGGUGCUACUGGGUGUAGACCUUGUUGCUCGUAGAGCUAUCACCGGCUCAGAACACCAUGAGCAGUCGCUGACUGCCAAACCAUGCAUGAACGUGUACCUUCAUGGCUUUGCUCCGCACCUGCGUCUAUACAUUUGACACGAAAGAUGAAAUACCAGAGCAGAACGAUCGAUCUCUCAGACAUGACCCAGAUGCGGGGAGCACUUGAUCAAGUCCGAGCGUUUCCGAUCCCUGCCUGUCAUGUCGCGGUUAUCGCUUGCUGUUGGUAGUGGGGGUGAUCAAGGGGGAGCCGUUGAGGAUCCUGCCCACCCGAAGCUUUCCAACGGCGGCGCGAUCGUGGACUUCAGGCCAUCUGGGAAUUUUGCAGGUUUUCAGAGGGCGGUUCCAAGCAAUGGCAAUGGACUGUCGGAGGAAGAUGGUCUACCAGUUGGAGAGGAUGCGCACAUCGGGGAUGAAGCGAACAUGGACGACGUUGCCUUUGUUGCAGUGGACUUUGAGGAGGAGGAUGAAAACAUCGAGCCGGGUUGGAAGCUGAUGAGCCUAUACAGAUCACAGAAACGGCCAAGCGCGAAGACGCUGUCGGAUCACUUUGAGAAAAUUUGGCAGCUACGUACAGGAGUUGAGUUUAAGCCCGUACAGAAAAAUUACUUUGUGGUCUUUUUUCUCUGAAGGAGACUACAGAUUCGUUGCUAGGGGAGGGCCAUGGAUAUAUGAUGGAGAUGCUUUGUUGUCAGGAUGUAAAUGGUCAGUCCGCUGAGGUUGUGGGACUGCCCGCACUGGCCACAACUUUUUAUGUGGGAUUACGUGGGAGCCCAGUUAAUUUUCAUGCGGGGCAUGUGGCGUCCACAUACUGCCGCAAUAUACAAAAGAUCACUGGAACUUCCACACUGACAUACAAAGCAUGUGGCGUCUGGAAGUAUAUACAUAUGUACAAAAAGUAUGACAAAAACAAAUGGCAGUAGAUACAAAGUGAGAAUGGAUAAUAUUAGCCCACAUUGACAUACAUAUGUAAAAAAGUAUGACAAAAACAAAUGGCAGUAGAUACAAAGUGAAAAUGGAUAAUAUUAGCCCACAUUGACAUAAUGAUCGCUACUAAUUAUCACUAGUGAGUUCGAGCUUCAUUUAGUAGUCGCCUCUAGAAUAACAAAAUCCACAAAGCAACGGCAACUUAACUAAAAACACCUAUCAAAGCAGCAGAAAUAUUUUCUGUAUGUGAACAAAAAGGAAUAUGUAAUACACUUCCCAUCCUUCAUAUCCCAAAAUUAACAGAAAGCACCUAGAGUCCUAGACUCAAAACGGCACCAAAUGAUAAAACUAUCAGCUAAGAGCAUCUUCCAUUUUUCUGUCAGCUUUCACAAAGCUAUGCUCACUGGUCUUUCACGUGAUUAAUCGGAAUCAGAAUGGUCCCAGGAUUGGCCUCAUCUUCGGUCCACUCAACUGAUUUUUUCUCCAGAAACAUCUCAACCUGCGGUCAUUCAAGUUUAUUAAUAAGUUAUAUAAGAUAUACAGUACUAUCUACAUGAAAAAGAAACAAGGAUAAGAAGUAAGCAGGGUUCCUUAAAUCAUAAGCAUACACCAGUGUGUAUUUCCCUUCCCUAAAAUGAUUGUUAAUCAACAUUGUCGAGGAGGGAAGCAAAACCAUCAAGAAUAAAAAGUGCAUAUAGCUAGCACCACAAUCUUUAAAAAAUGCAGAUAGCUAGCAACAAAUUCACAAUAGGCAAUGAUCUUAAAUUAAUAUUCUAACCAAUAAGAGUCCUUAAUGAGUAUUAUUGCGACCAGAUCUUGAUAGCAUAAUUGCAAGGAUGAUAAAUACAUACAAGUUAGCAGCAUACACAAUUUAUACUCAGAGCGCAACUCGAAACUAUGGACGUAAAAGAAACCAGAUUUAACUCAAAUGCUCCCCAAAUUUACCCAAAGCUUGCUACAAUUGAACAAUUGAUUAGCAAUAUUAUGUAGUGCACACAUACCUCAGUUAAUAGUAGUGACCUUGAUCAGGAGUAUUGGCAUGCUUACCAUUACAUCUAAACCAAUCUUGAAGGCAGAUUAAGGCUUCCACUGUCUCGCUGCACAAUCUACUUCUGUAAUCGCUGAUCAAACGCUUUCCGGUAUUGAAAGCCGACUCUGACGAUACGACGGAAGCUUGUACAACAAGAACAUCACAAGCUAUACAAGAAAGGAUGGGAUACUUAGACGAGUGAAGAUGCCACCAUUGAAGAAUGUUGAAUCCUCCGUGCGAGUGAAUGUGUCUUCUUCUAAGUAUCUGGCAAGCUCACUAGUAGAUUGGCGUUGCUUCUUAUUCAAGUGUUGGUCCCAAUCCGCCAACGGAUCAUUCUCUUCAUUCACAACCUCAUCAAAUUUUGUCGGGGUGCUGACUCAUCCAAUGCAUCCGUCAUUUGUGAAGAAUAUUCUUCGAAAAGGUUGUCAAGAACUUCUUUCACUGUAAGCAAGAGUCUUUCUACAUCUGGACCAAAAGCUUGUUUUAGUCGAAACUCGAUGAAGCAAAGUUUAAAUCGUGGACCAAGGAUCACAGGAAUACAGUUUGGCAAAUAUGAUUCCAUCCAAUACUUAUCAAACUUUUUUUGCAUCUCUCCAACCAUUGCUCGAACGACUUCAUCCUUUGUUGAAGCUUCCUUCCGCAGCAAUAACCUCACAUUCCAGAUUUGAUGAAAGUACAAAUUUGAGGUAGAAUAACUUGAACCAGAAAGUACAUUGGUUUGAAAUCCCUCCAAACAGCAGAAGUUAGCCUUCUUGUCUUGCAGACUGUUAAUUGGCAAGCAAAUAAAAUGUCAACUCACAAGAACAUUUUAAACUUGUAACUACAUACAAGUGUAAUUACAAAAGAGAAAAAACAAAGCCAACUCACCAUGUGGAUGAUUAAUUUUUGAGCCUCCAAAUGGAGUAGUCACUGGAGAAGGGGAUCCUAAGAUAGAUGGUGAUCUCGCGGACGAAUUUGCCCUCUCCUCCAAUGGGGAACUUGCAAUCCUCGUUGAGGGAGACCUGCCCCUUUUUGAGGAUGCAACUCUUGCUAGAAGACCAAGGGAAGAUCUCCACGUGCUCGCCACCGGUGACCUUACCAAUGGUGAUCUUGUCGCUCUUUGACUAUGUGUCAUAGGUGGAGAAUCUCGUCUCUAGAUAACAAAACACAGAAAGUUCAGAACAUGCUAUCAAUUUCAAGAAGGUAUAAAAGCAGAUUUGUGGUUUAGAGUGAGGUUUAAUAGAGAAAUCUGGCAAGAAAAAUGACCUGUAGCUCCUCUGUUGUAGCUCCUUGAACAAAUUCAGAACAGUUCAUUGAACGAGCAUGUUUCCUCUUCCCCUGCAACUCCUCCUCCUCCUGCAACUCCUCCUCCUGGUUUUUCCUCUUCUUCUCUUGCUUCUUCCUCUUCUCUUUCCUCUUCUCUUUCCUCUUCUCUUCCAGGCUUUUCUUUCUCGUCUUAUGCCUUCGUUUUUCCUUCCGCCUUUCUAAUCAGUAACGCAAACACAGGAGGUCAAAAAAAAUAUCAAAGAAUACAAGUAAUGUCACGGGGAAACACAUGAGGGCCGGAUACUUACUUCCGUUCCUCAUCGAUAGCAUUCCACACAUGUUGUUCCUGCUCCAUGGCUUCCCACUUUUCAGCUUGCUUGUCGAUCGUCAACACCAUUUGGUCAUCGACAUCACCCAUGGUAACUUCCAUCAAAUCUGCAUUGAAUGUCCAAUGAAUGCUAAAUUUAACUAGCAAUCAGAACAAAUGGACGCAACCGUAGAAUUGUUCUAUUUGCUUUCUUCAGACACAAUACAAGAUUUCACCAUUAACACACAAAUUUAGCAUACACCGAACUCCUAUAGCGAGUAGUUACAGAGACAUUCUAAUUCUGACCGCCAGAGCAAGAUAUACUUUGAUAUUUUUACAAUUAAUAUCUGGAAAUACAAGAAUGAUUACAAUUAAUAUUCACAUGCCAGUGUGAUAUGUAUUGUACAACUUGUUUAGAAUUUAGAGGGAUGUUUUUACAGGUGCAAUGCUCUUGCAACUAGUUUCGUACGAAUCACAACGACGUUUUGCUAGCUGCUCCUCUGACUAAUUCCUUUUUAUAGACCAUUCUACCUACUCCAAAUAAUUUCUCGGUUCAUGCAUUGAUUGUUCUGCAAAAACAUGCAUCGGGAUACCUGUGGCAGCGUGAGGAAGCUUUCAUUCAAAUCAUCAAAUGAUCGCCAGAAUCCGCAUGCUAUAUGGAAAUACCCUGUAAUGUACUUGCCUGUACACUCUUGAUAAAGUCAAUGACCACCACACCCCCCUGCCUUGGUCCCCAUAAUCGAGAAAUAUAUGGACAGCAGUAAGUAACGAAUGCUAAUCUACUAGAAGAUUGUACAGUAGUAUCGGGCAAAGAUAACCAAGAACCAUCUAAUUCGCCACUUGGAGUAGUACGUGUAUAGUCGUGUUUGCAUUGCCCACUCAUCACUACACAGCCAAAUUAGAGUAGUGCAUAGCUUGGCACUGUCCGCAUCUGUACUAGGAUCUUUUGGUCCUUCGAUCUUAACUAAGUACCACUAAAUAGUCUUUAAUUGUGCUGUUCCUCUGAUAUACAGAGAGAUUCUAAUUCUGACCACGAGAGCAAGAGAUUCGUACGAAACUAGUUGCAAGAGCAUUGCACCUGUAAAAACAUCCCUCUGAAUUCUAAACAAGUUAUACAAUACGUAUCACAUUGGCAUGUGGAUAUUAAUUUACAGUUCAUAACAAUAUAUCAAUUAACAAAGUUGCGGCCACAAGGGAGUGGACCAAGUACUAUCUCAAGUACCUAACAAAUGCCGGACGGCGGAUUCACAAUAAAUUGUAGAGAAGCUCAUCGUCUAUAGAUUCAGCAAGCUACUCACAUCCACACAUAAUAGUAAUAUCUAACAGGCUACUCACAUUCAGUAUAGCUGAUGCACAACAAAACAUGGAUCACAACUGGUGUAGCUGAUUCACAUCAAGCAAUUGAAGAAGACAUGCCUGGCCCCUUGGGGUAGAAUAGGAGGAGGGGGGAUUUUGCAUACCUUGGGGUAGAAUAGGAGGAGGCGGGGGAGCAGGGGCCGAAGAGGCCAUCACCGGGAUUGGGGAGGGAGCAGCCACGCAGGGCUCGGCUUGGUCCCCGGCUAUCCCCUUUGAUGGCGGCGGAGGAGCAGGAGCUGAAGAGGGCGUCGGCAGGAUAGGGGAGAGAGCAGAGGAGUCAUCCUCGCAAGGCUUGGCUCGGUCGCCGGCGAUGUCCUUGGACGACGGCCUCUUCGAGAAACACGACAGCGACGGUGGCUCCAUGGGAUUGGAAGCGGGAGGUGGUGCCGCACCACUGGUGCGGUGGAGAUGGCGGCGAGGGCGCCCUAGCCUAGGGCAUGGGGUGACUGGGGAAGGACGCGAAGGGGGGAUUGUGGACUACCGCUGGCUCGAUAGGCUUUUCUGGGCUAUCCACUUGCGCCGUUUAAUUUUUCUGGGUGUCCACAAAUGCCACAUAACCUUUUUUUGUGGAUGGCAUAUGUGGGACUAAUGGGACCCAGCGCCACUUACAUCCUGACUUUGUUGGUGGCUCCGUUUGUAGAAGAUGCUCAUCCGUCUGAAACUAUAAGAGCAUCUCCAACAGGCGCCGUGCCGCAAAAUCCCCCCGCGCAACCCGGCGGAUGGCUCCAGCGGGCGCGCAAUAACCGCGCGCGCGGUAUAAGCAGUUGGGCGCGCGUGGAUGCGGUUCAUCACGUGGUGUAUUUGCGGCCCCGCUUCCGCGCGCGGCACACUCGACGCUCGCGCUGCGCGCUCUUCUUCUCCCCCUCCAAAGCCCCGCGCGCGCCGGCGCCGGCGACCCGCACCCAUGGACGCACGCGCCGGCACCUCGCUCACCCCGUCCUUAGCCGCGACCCCCUCGCCCCCGCCGCCGCCACCGCCACAAACCCUAGCCCGGGUGGCGUUGGCCUCGCCGCCGCCGGGGCUCCUCUUCAUGCCGCCGCGGAUGACCUCGGCGGCGGGUGGCGUCGCGCCGGCACCGGCCCGAGCCGCCGCCCCCUCCUCCUCAAAGCUCCCCAAUGCGGCGCAGCCAAAGAUUUUAAACUUGGUUGGAUGAACUUGUGGGCAUGAUUUUAAACUUGUGGGCAUGAACUUCAUCAAUUUGUUUGUGUGAAAUUUCUAUUGUGUUGAAAAUGUUCAUCAUUUUGUGUUGAAAAAUGCCAUAUGCAAUGCACCGGCGGGUCGCGCGCGCUACAUUUUGGCGCGCUGCUGGAGCGACGCGCGCGCGCUGCAUUUUAGCGCGGCCGCUGGAGCCAGCGUUGCGCACCGCGCCAAACCAGCCGAUGCGCGCGCCGCAUAUGUGUUUUUUGCGCGCGGCGUGACCGGCGCCAGUUGGAGAUGCUCUAAUGGAUUCAGUCUAUGUGUGGGUGCGUGUCUUUGAUGUGCCUUGGAAUAAACAAACCAGGCCAUAUGGGAACGCCUUGGGUGGCACCCUGGGAGAGGUGUUGGAGGUUGAUGCUCCGGAAGUUGGACAUGGCACUAGCGAAUUUUUGAGGAUCAGAGUUAAGCUGCCAUAUAACAGGAGGUUGCAGAAGGAGGUUACUAGAAUAUACUGUCAGAGGAGUAACAAAACGAUCUACUUUUAAACUGAAGUAAGAGCGUGUACCACACUUCUGUUUCUUCUGUGGUUUUCUAGGCCAUGAUGAAGAUGUGAGUGAGAAGAAGAGGCUUGGGCUGCCAUCUAAAGCCUAUGAUUCCACGCUCCGUUGUUCCCCGUUUAAGAAGUAUGAGCAAAGACCAGCAUAUACAGCGUCGCCGGGCCAGCCAAGGGCGCGCCGUGUGUUGGACUUUUCCUUGGGCCGUGCUGGUUCUACUACACGGCAAUCCGCUUCUUCUUCAGCGAGAAGUGAGUCUAGACAUAAUCCAUUUAUACCAGAUAGGGUUGAUGCCCAUGAUGGGUUUGAGAACAGAGAAGGAUCAGGUGAGACGGCGGCUGUUAUUCAGCUUGCAGAUGAGGUGGAGGCGCUCCGUCUGAGGCUGGCCAAAGAGAAACCAGAGUGCAGUCAAUCUCACCGGAUAAAGAUUCAUUUUGAAGCAAAAGCUAUGUACAAACAGACUGAACUACAACCCAAAUCUCACAAGAAGAGAAGUACUGGUAAGAAAGUUGUGGCAGCAAGGACGCCAGGCACUCUAGUUAUCAAGGAAAAAGAACCUACUUCGGAUGUCAUGAAUCCAACAUUACGGGGUGUUGAUUUUUUGGAUAAAUCUUUUGGUACAGCGGUGGACUUGAUGGUAUACAAUGAUUCCAUCUUGGGAAAACGUCAUGUUGCAGGAUUGUUUGGUUAUGGGCAGGAUGCGCAACUUGACAAAGCUAUGGUGCCGUUCGUUGAUGUUCCAACAGGAGGUAGUCUGAAGAAAGGGAAAAUUGAAGGUCAACAGCAAGAGGAGGAAGUAACCAGCAAAGGGAGUGAGGUGGACAUGGAGGCAGCUGGCCUAGCUAGGGGCCGCCAGUGAUCUGACGGGGCCUUUAGCGCCCCGUCAGACGCAAUGAAUUGCUUAAGUUGGAACUGUUGAGGGGCGGGGAACCUUCGCACAGUUCGUGAUCUUGUAGCACUUGUGGGUGCUCAUUCCCCAAAAGUGGUCUUUCUGUGUGAAACUAGACAACCAAAAGAAAAGAUGUAUCGUCUUCGUAAUCGUUUAGGCUUAGUUGGUUUUGAAGGAGUUAGUAGUGAUGGUCGUAGUGGUGGUCUAGCUUUAUUUUGGCACGAGUUUGUAUCCCUGGUUGUUCAAGAGGCUAAAAAUAGAUGGAUUGAUGCUUAUGUCCGCUUGUCACCUGAUGAUCCUUUGUGGUGUGUCACCUUUGUGUCUGGCGAGCCACGAGUGGAAAAUAGACAUUUUAUGUGGGACUCUUUGAGGAGGUUGUCAAGACACAGUACACUUUCAUGGAUGUUAGUUGGCGACUUUAAUGAAGCUAUGUGGGAUUAUGAACACAUGUCAGAAACACCAAGGGCACCGGGUCAGAUGUUGAGUUUCAGAGAUGCUUUGGAAACAUGUGCGCUGAUUGAUAUGGGCUUCAUGGGUUAUCCCUUUACCUAUGAUAAUAGGCGGGGUGGUAGAGCCAAUGUUCAGGUGAGAUUGGACAGAGCAGUGGCCACUAAUACUUGGAGGGAUAUGUUUGCUGAUGCUGUUGUACGUCACCUGGUCUCACUGGCGUCAGACCAUUGUCCAGUGUUGGUCUCAUGUAUUUUGGAUACGGCCCCUCGGCCGGGCCGAUGUCGCCGUUAUGAAUUGAUGUGGGAAAGAGAUCAUGCUCUUAAUGAGGUAGUGGCGGAAGCAUGGGGUGCAGCAGGAACUAAAAGAAACUUAAGUGAUGUUCAAAAGGCUCUCGGCCAGGUGAUGGGUAAGUUGCAUACUUGGAGUACUAAAAAAUUUGGGAAUGUUACAAGACAACUUGAGAAAUCUAGAUCAAGAUUGGAGGAACUGAUGCUUAUGAAUGCGGACAGGGCAGAUAUUAGGAAGCACAUGGACGAAAUGAAUGAACUUUUAUUUAGGGAGGAGAUGUUGUCGUUACAGCGCUCGCGCAUUGCUUGGCUCAAGGAGGGGGGCAGGAACACUAAGUUUUUUCACAGAAAAGCGGUGUGGCGAGCCAGAAAGAAUGCAGUAUGAGGACUAUUGGAUGCUAAUGAUGUUUGGCAAACUAAUAAAAACGUGAUGUUGGAUAUGGCCCGUACCCAUUUUAUGCAAGUAUUUACAGUUGAUCCGAACGUCAACCCAGAAGAAGUAGUGAAUCUAUUCCAAGCUAAAAUAACGGAUGAUAUGAAUACUGCUCUUUGUGCUCCAUUCACAGAUAAGGAAAUAGGCGAUGCGUUGUUCCAGAUUGGGCCACUAAAAACCCCAGGUCCAGACGGAUUUCCAGCUUGAUUUUUUCAGCGGAAUUGGGCUUUAAUGAAAGAGGAUGUAAUGGUGGCUGUCAGGUUGUUCUUUGAGACUGGACACAUGCCGGAUGAGGUAAACUCAACUACUAUUGUGCUUAUUCCUAAGGUUGCGAAUCCAAAGAAGCUAAAUGAGUUCAGACCAAUCAGUCUAUGUAGCGUAGUUUACAAGGUCAUCUCCAAGUGUCUGGUAAAUCGUUUGAGACCUCUCCUUGAUGUUAUUGUUGCUCCUGAGCAGAGCGCCUUCAUCCCUGGUAGACUUAUUACAGAUAAUGCUUUCAUAGCUUUUGAGUGUAUGCAUACAAUCAAACAGGAAAGGAAUCAGGAGAAUAGUUUUUGUGCUUACAAGCUGGACCUAUCAAAGGCAUAUGACAGGGUAGACUGGAAUUUCCUGGAGCGAAUGAUGCAAUAGUUGGGUUUUCAUCACCGGUGGAUACAGUGGAUUAUGGCGUGUGUAACCUCGGUGAGAUAUAGCGUUAAACUAAAUGGAGCUAUCUCAGAUUCGUUCGCACCGUCGCGUGGACUUAGGCAGGGUGACCCUCUAUCCCCGUUUUUGUUUUUGUUCAUAGCUGAUGGACUUGAUGCUAUUUUGAAACAGAAGGUCAGACAAGGAAGGAUUUCUCCUAUUCAUGUGUGUCCAAGGGCGCCAGGUAUCUCACACCUCCUAUUCGCAGACGACACAUUAAUGUUUUUCCGUGCUACUCAGGAAGAAGCUACCCAGGUGGGAGAUGCACUGGCUAUUUAUGAGCGCAUCACGGGACAAUUCAUUAACCCGGCAAAAUGUUCUAUUUUAUUUGGCCCAUGUUGUGGUGACAACGACAAGCAUGAGGUUGUGCAUACCUUGCAGGUUCAGACGGUGGGAUUUGACGAUAAGUAUCUCAGUCUCCCCACACCAUCUGGUAGAAUGUCGAAGAGCAAGUUUCAAAAUCUACAAGAGCAACUUACUAAGCGUAUCUUACAGUGGGGAGAAGCGCCGUCAUAAGGGGGCAAAGAAAUUUUCAUUAAGGCGGUUGCACAGUCCCUACCUACAUAUAUCAUGGGGAUUUUUCGUUUGCCCCAGAGUGUUUGUGAUGAUCUUACUCGCAUGGUACGCAAUUUUUGGUGGGGGGCCAAGGAGGGGAAGAGGAAGACACAUUGGCAUGCAUGGGAUACAUUGAUUAAACCGAAAGUGCAAGGCGGCAUGGGGUUCCGUGAUUUCAGACUCUUCAAUCAGGCACUUUUGGCUAGACAAGCUUGGCGUCUUAUUGCUUACCCUGACAGUUUAUAUGCUCAGGUGCUCAAAGCAAGAUAUUACCCGGCGGGACGUCUGGAAGAUACGGUCUUUUCGGACAACUCAUCCCAGACGUGGCAGUCUAUUGUCCACGGUCUUGAGCUUCUCAAGAAAGGUCUAAUUUGGCGCAUUGGUGAUGGAGCUUCUGUACGUAUUUGGCGUGACCAGUGGAUACCACAUCCACUUGCGAGGUUGCCAAUAUCACCCAAGGGGCGCUGCCGCCUUCGGCGUGUUAGCGAGCUCCUGGACGACCGAGGAAAUUGGAACGUGCAACUACUUAAUCAACAUUUCAUGUCAGUAGAUGUCAUGGAAAUUAUGAAGAUCAAGGUGGUGCCACGGUUGGACAGAGAUAUUAUCGCUUGGGCGCCCGAGCGUUCUGGAUCGUUCACAGUCCGGAGUGCUUAUCGUCUAUCAUAUGAUGAGAUUCACCGUCAGACUACAGUCGCAUCGAGUAGGGCACCGGACGGGCGACGUGCCGUUUGGGCACUUAUAUGGAGGUGCCCUGCUCCACCAAAGGUGCGUAUCUUUGCAUGGCGUUUGGUCACAAAUUCACUGGCUACUUGGGUGAAUAAAAAAUCACGGAAACUUGAGGUGUCUAACCUUUGUCCGUUGUGUGCGAUGGAACCGGAGGAUACGUUCCAUACAUUCUAUAGAUGCACAUUGGCUGUUGCUUCGUGGAACGCACUUAGCUUCAAUGAGGAAUACAGGCCCUGAGUGGCUUUUUGAUCUUCUGUAUAAGCUAAAUGAAGACGAUCGCAUGCAUGUGUUGAUGGUGCUGUGGAGGAGUUGGUAUGUACGUAAUGAAAUAGUACACCAGAAGCUUCCUGUAGAUUUCUAUUUAGCUAUGCUGAAUCUCUUCGAUGCAUCAAUCAUUUUCCAACCACUAACAUCAUCAAAGGGAAGAUGGUGCCGCCGGCGAUUGGGUAUAGUUCUACAAUGAUAAAUACAGCAACGCAACAUGCAGCCACAGUCCAGUGGUCUGCCCCGCCGGCCGGUCGCGUGAAGCUGAAUGUUGACGGGUCGUUCGUUGAUACCGAUGGUGGAUUAGCAGGAGCCGGUAUGAUCCUACGUGAUAAUGAUGGCAACAUUAUCUUCUCCGCUUGUCGUUCUAUCUUGCAUUGUUCCGGACCGCUCCAGGCUGAGUUGUUGGCAUGUCGGGAGGGAUUAAGCCUUGCUCUACAAUGGUCUACUCGCCUGGUAGACAUCGAGAUGGACUGCAUGGAUGCAGUUGAUCAAGUCGCCUACCCUUGACAGAUCGCCACAUAGAAUGAUAGUUCAGGAUAUUAAAAGGCUCUUUGGUGAAAGGGAUAUCUCUAUUGCUCAUGUAAGUAGGAAUCAGAACGUUGUUAGCCACACACUUGCUGCUUUCGGACGAUCGGAGGGCCGAACUGCAGUUUGGUUGCGUUUUGGACCUGCAGACGUUCCUCUGCUAUGUAGAAACGAAUAUUCCAACAGUUGAGCAAUGAAAUCAUUUUAACCCCACAAAAAAAAAGUCCGGGAGUUCGCUAAUGCACGAACCGGGGGAGCUGCAGCCACCACGUUCACUCGCCGUCCUCGAGGUACCGGACUCCGAAUACUCGUCUCAGCAGGUUUUUCCGAAGGUUUUUGCUUCAGACAUCUAACCUGAAGAAAAUACACACUGAACGCGUGGACGAGACGGUUUUUUCUUGGGACAUCUAACCUGAAGAAAAUGCAGAUUGAACGCGUGGACGAGACUGAAAGUGCCUUCCGUAAGAGAUGGUACCUCUGCACUAGAUAUUAUUGAAGCAUCUCAUUGAGUACUCGAAAUUGAGGCAGACACAUCAUGAAAUACACCGUACGUGCUUGUAAGUUGUAACAAAGCAGGACACGAAUUUUUGGAAUUUUUGGAACUAGAGUCCACACGUAUCCCUUAUGAAUAGUAACAAAAACCAAGACGUAAUAAAAAAAUAUUAACAAAUGGUCUGUGAAGUUCCUUAAUCUAGAUGAUAUUUGCUGUGGGAAUUGGUUAUAAUAUAUUUUAUAUGAGAUUUGGUUGUACAAAGCAUGAGUAGUUUGAGUUAUAAAUGGCUAAAACCAAAAGUAUAUAUUAUAUAUUGUAUUUGAUUAUUAUAUAAUUAUAUAAAUUGUGUAUUGGAUGUAAGUAGCAUAAUAUAGUGGGCUUUUUUUGCCAUGCAUGUUAUGACGUACCUUUGAUGAAAUGGCAUGUGUAUAUGUUGAGGUAAAUAGAAACAAUGUGGAUCAACUAAUAAUGAAAAAUGUGGCGUGUGUACAUGUUGAGGUAAAUGAAAACAAUGUGGAUCAAUUAAUAAUGAAAAAUGUUUUUCCAUGCAUGUAGAGGUGUUCUUUGAUGAGAUGGCAUGUGUGCAUAUUGAGAUAAAUAAAGUAGUGUGGAUCACCCACUUAACUAGGAUAAAUAAGGUAUUGCUACAAAGGAAAAAAGUGCCCCUGAUAUUCCUCAAAAACAGCACAUACGAGUAGAACAGUUGACCAGUUUUAUUAACCUUAGAAUUUAAAUUCUCUUAUUAUUAUUAUUUCAAAAAAAUUAUAUGUAUUGUCAUCAUAAGAGGGGUGCUUAGACCCAUGCUCACUACUAUUGUACUUUAACAUAAUAACUCAUAUCUUCCUUUAUACUAAUAAGAGAGAGAAUGAUAAAAUUGUGCAUAAAAAAAUAAUUCUGUUCUGUGUCCAAAAUUACGAUGACAAUUAUCUGGCACUAUGUCCCUGCGAUCGGGUCUACAUCAUGUACGCCCUAAUAAGUACAACUGUCAUCUUCUGCAUUUCCUCUCAAUAGUUGUAGACCAUCUGCCUAUUCGACCAAAACAUCCUGUUUAUUAGACAAGGGUUUUAGGGUUUUUGGCACACCUCCAAACGUGGGGUGACCUUUUCAUUAUAUAGUGAUGUACAACAUAAUUACAAGUGGGGCCCAGUAUAUACAGAGUCUAACACCCUCCCUCAAUCUUAACCGUGCUCAAAAGAAUUUACUAGGUUGAGAUUGCGCCUACACCCUUCAAACUGAGGAAGAGGCAGUGGCUUCGUGAAGAUGUCAGCAAGUUGAUCUUUCGAGGAGAUGAACUUGAUAAGAAGCAGUUUCUGGGCAACACGUUCCCUGACAAAGUGGUAAUCAACUUCAAUGUGUUUGGUGCGAGCAUGAAAAACUGGAUUUGAAGACAAAUACGUCGCCCCAAUAUUAUCACACCAAAGCACCGGCGGCUGCUUCUGAGGAACCUUCGACUCUUUGAGCAAAAACUGUAUCCAAAUAAGCUCUGCUGUGGCAUUUGCAACUGCUUUGUACUCAGCUUCAGUGCUACUGCGAGACACCGUUGCUUGUUUACGAGCACUCCAGGCGAUCAAGUUCGAACCAAGGAAGACUGCAUAUCCCCCCGUGGAUCGUCUGUCAUCCGGACUCCCAGCCCAGUCCGCAUCAGAGAACGCAGAGAGAACGCCAGAGGGGGCCGGUUGCAGAUGCAAGCCAUAAGAAGAAGUGGACCGGAUGUAACGCAAAAUGCGCUUAACUGCAGCCCAGUGAGAGUCUCGAGGAGCAUGAAGAAACUGGCAGACCCGGUUGACCGCAUAGGAGAUAUCAGGACGAGUGAUAGUCAAGUACUGCAAGCCACCAACAAUACUGCAAUACUCAGUAGCCUCAUCAGCAGGGAGGAGAGAACCAUCGAGAGCAGAUAGGCGGUCAGUGGAGGACAUAGGUGUAGUAGCUGGCUUGCACUGGAGCAUACCAGACUUCCGAAGAAUAUCAAGAGAAUACUUCUGCUGAGUGAGAGUCAAGCCAGAACCAGAAGACAAUACUUCAAGGCCAAGGAAAUAGUGAAGCUGCCCAAGAUCCUUAACCGCAAAGUCAGCACUCAAAGCAGAAACCAAGCGAUCCCAGCAUAGUCUGAGGAACUGACCACGAUGAUAUCGUCAACAUAGACCAGUAGAUACAUAGUAACUGUAGGUCGCUGAAGAAGAAAUAACGAGGUAUCGGCCAGAGAGGGAACAAAUCCAUGAGCCCGAAGAGUGGUGCCAAGACGCGCAUGCCAAGCGCGCGGAGCCUGCUUCAGACCAUAGAGUGCCUUAACAAGACAACAGAGAUGCUGCGGACGAGCUGGAUCGACAAAACCGGGAGGCUGACACAUAUAAACCUCCUCCUCAAGAACACCAUGAAGGAAAGCAUUCUGAACAUCAAGCUGACGAAGAGACCAUCCACGGGUAAUUGCCAGUGAGAGCAGAAGCCGAAUCGUGGUCGGUUUGACCACUGAACUGAAGGUGUCCUCAUAAUCAAGGCCAAGGCAUUGUUUGAAUCCUCGAGCAACCAGUCGAGCCUUGUAUCUCUCGAUAGAACCAUCAGCAUGUUUCUUUACCUUGAAGACCCACUUUGAGUCAAUGAUGUUGACACCAGCCUUUGAAGGAAUCAGUCGCCACAUUUCAUUCUUAAGAAGAGCGUGGUAUUCUUGUUCCAUCGCAGUACGCCAGUGAGGGAUACUCAGGGCAGCCUGAAAAUGUCGAGGCUCAGCAGUAGGGUCGGACUGCACCUGCGCCAUGCAAGUCGCAAGCCAGGCCACCGUGCCAUCCUUGCGUUCCUUAGGACGAAACACCCCACUUUUGCUGCGUGUAUGAGGACGCAACACCGGGGGCGGAGCAGGUGGCGAAACCGAUGGUGAGGAUGAUGAAGGGGACACAUCAUCCGUCAUGGCAGAGGCUGAUGCAGUCGGUGGCGGUGACGAAGAAGACACAGCAGGAGACGCCGACCCACUCGAGGGCGAUGCCGAUCCAGACGAGCAGGACAAGUGCCGCACAGGCAACGAGGAUGACGCGGAACUCCCAGGCGACGACGGCCCAGGCGUUGAUGGCGGGGGACUCCCAGGCGGGGACGGCCCAUGCGUCCGUGCAGGUGACGGCCCAGGCGUCGAUGGCGAGGACGCCGGUGCAGACGUGACGGCUCACUGGGCCGAUGCGCCAGUCAGCAGAAGCGGCGGCUGGGCCAGAGUGGUGACGCGCGGUGCAGCAGCCGCGAUCACGGGCACAGGCGGGCUCGUUGCAUGGGACAUGCACGAAGCCAGCCGAUCGACCUGAGCAGGUGGUGAUGACGGAGCCGUCGGGGACGAGGGAGCCGGAGUGUCAACCUCAUCCAGGAGCUCAAGCUGCACACAUCUCCCAAUACCUGCACCAUGGUUAAACAACAAAGAGGGCGAAUGUGCAGCAUCUACAAAUUGAUCAGGCAAUAUAGUGGAUGGGUGCACUGGCGGUGUCGAGCUUGUGUCAGGUGAGGGAAGAGCAGCAAAGAGAAAAGCAUGCUCAUCAAAAACAACAUCGCGGGAGAUAUACACACGAUUAGACAGGACAUGAAGGCACUUAUACCCUUUGUGAACAGAACUAUACCCCAGAAAGACACACUUCUUUGAUCGGAACUCAAGCUUGCGAUUAUUAUACGGACGGAGAUGCGGCCAACACGCACAACUGAACACUUUAAGAAACUUGUAAUCAGGAGUCUGACCAAGCAAGAGUUCAAGUGGAGUUUUCAUAUGAAGGAGCCGCGAAGGAAGCCUAUUUAUAAGAAAACAGGCUGUAGUAAAAGCAUCGCUCCAAAAACGAAACGGGACAGAGGCAUGAGCAAGCAAGGUUAACCCAGUUUCAACAAUAUGACGGUGCUUACGUUCAGCUAAACCAUUCUGCUGAUGUGUAUGUGGGAAAGAAACACGAUGAGCAAUUCCAAGUUUUUCAAAGAAAGUACUGAGGUUGCGGUAUUCACCCCCCCCCCCCUAGUCUGACUGGACGUGAAUGAUUUUAUGAUCUAGGAGUCUCUCAACAUGUGCUUGAAAUUGUAAAAACACAUUAAACACAUCAGACUUAUGCUUAAGAAGAUAAAUCCAGGUAAAGCGACUAUAAGCAUCAAUGAAACUGACAUAAUAUUCGUGCCCACUAACGGACCACUGGGCAGGACCCCAUACAUCUGAAAACACAAGCUCAAGAGGAGUUUUGACUAUAUGUAUAGAAACAGAAAAAGGUAACUGAUGACUCUUGCCUUGCUGGCAGGCAUCACAGACAGCGGCAUCUUUAUUACUAGACUCGGACGGUAGCUCAUGACGAUGGAGGACAUGGCAAACAAUGGGAGAUGCUGGGUGACCAAGACGAGAGUGCCAUAGUGAUGGAGACACACGAACGCCACUGAAGACUUGGAAGGCAGCAGCAGGAGCGGGAACGUUGGUGGGGGCAUCAAGAGCAUAGAGACCAUGGCGGUAGCGACCUCUAAGAAGUAUGUUCCUCGUAGCACGAUCCUUAACAAAGAGAUGAAACGGAUAAAACUCACAGAAAACAUUAUUAUCAUGUGUAAGUUUAGGAACAGAGAGUAAAUUACGUGCAACUGUGGGAACACGAAGAACAUUUCUAAGAUGCAAUGUCCUAGAGGAGUUUGUGAGAAGUGAUGCCUGACCAACAUGCGAAAUGUGCAUACCUGCCCCGUUAGCCGUGUGAACCUUGUCAUGCCCACGGUAAGGCUGCUGGACAGUUAGCUUGCCCAGCUCGUUCGUUACGUGCGUGGUUGCUCCAGUAUCCAUGUACCAAGAAGGAUCAAUAGGAUAAGAAGGGGUGUGACCCUGUUGCGCCAUGUUAACUUGACGCUCGUUGCCCUUGCCAUUAUUGCCGAGGCCAAGGAAGUCCGUCUUGAACCGGCGAUGACAGCGAGAGGCGACAUGGCGAGGCAGGCCACAGAGCUGACAUGGCUGAGCCGCACCACAGGCGGUACAGCAGGCGCAGGCGCGGCCGUCAACGACGACUACCGGGGCACCAGGACGCGGGGCCUGCUGCUGUUGUGCCGAGGACGCACCUCCACCGGACUUGCCCCCUCCUCCCGAGGAAGCUGCAGAGGGGCACGGCCACCGCCUUUGCCGUGGUACACGGCGUUGACGGAGGAGUCGAUGGAGACAUCGGGGCGGCGUGCGUUGAGCCGUUGCUCCGUUGACAAGAGACGGCUGUAGAGUUCCUGAGGACGAAGAGGCUCCUUGCGUUCAUUAAUCACCUCGGCAAGCGAGUCGUAGUCGCUGUCGAGGCCGGCUAGGAUGAAGGAUGUGAACUCGCUGUCACGAAGGGGCUCUCCAAUGGAAGCAAGAGUGUCAGCCAACUUCUUGAUCUUGUUGUAGAAGGUGAUCACCGUACCAUUGUCCUUGCGAGUUUCACCAAGCUUGGCACGGAUGGCCAUGGAUUGAGCAGUAGACUGAGACGAGAAACUCGACUCCAGUAUGUCCCACACCUCAUGAGAGGACGAAGCAAAGAGGACGAGCCCGGCCACACCCUCACCCAGAGAAGACUGGAUGGCUGAGAGGAUGGCUUGGUCCUGAGCGAUCCACGCACGGAACAUCGGAUGAUAUGGCAGUGGACAUGGCAGUGUACCGUUGAGGAACCCCUCCAAGUAAUGGCUGCGAAGGAGAGGAAGCACCUGAGCACGCCAAUAUAGAUAAUUGUCCGGUUUAAGCUUCACCAGGAGGAGGUGGGAGAAUAAAAACGGCGGCGAGGAGAUCGCGGCCAGAGCAGCUUCAGCACCCACGUAUGGCGUCGGAGAGGGCAUUGGUGCAGAUUGCGCCGCAACCGUUGCGUACAGGUGCGAGGGGCCGUACGGGUAGGGCGCCCCAUAGGGCGGCGGAGCCGGGUACGCGCCCUGGCCAGGGUACACACCAUAGGAGGGAUGCGCAGGUGGCGACGGGCCGUACGGCGCCGCGUACAGUGGGUAGCCGCCGUGAUUGGCAUGGGCGGCAUCGGCAAUAGUAGGGCCGACUGCGGUGUAGAUGGAGGCAACCGGAGCAGGUGCGAUCGCACGCAUCGGGUGUGACGCGGUAGGUGGUGGCGGCGCAGGCACAAGGGAGUGCACGGCAGCCGGCGGCGGCGACAGUUGCUGGGACCGGGCCGAAGCAGCAGGCGAUGAAGAGGAGACGACGGCGUACAGCGAAGACACCGGGUCGGCGAAGAGAGACCCCGCCGAUUAGGUCUGCAGGUGGCCGAGCGAUCCGUCCGCCGUGUAGGGCGCAGUCCCGACGUUGAGGAGACGCGCGAGGAACGGCGGGAGGAACAAGUGAUCCAUGUGAACGGGGGCCGGCGGCAGAAGGGCGGGGAAGGAAACCGCGGUGCCGGCGGCGCUUGAGGCAGCGGCGGCGGCGGCUGGUGGCGGAGGCGGAGCGGAAGACAUUAGAUCGUUAGGUCGGAUACCAUAUUAGACAAGGUUUUAGGGUUUUUGGCACACCUCCAAACGUGGAGUGACCUUUUCAUUAUAUAGUGAUGUACAAUAUAAUUACAAAUGGGGCCUGUAUAUACAGAGUCUAACACUGUUUGACUUCAAGUAUGUUCGCUAUGGUUGCAAUGGCUAGUCGCUAGGGAAAUAAUCUUUUUUGCAUGGGGGAAGGAUUUUGUAUUAAUUAACUUAGCUCAAGAUUACCCAGUGCACAUAGUUUUACGACUCCCUCAGGACCGGACCGUAACCGGACGGACGCCUUAAUCUUAACUCUCCCGAUCUGAGCUAAUUCAUGACUAACACGAUUAUUGCCCCUUUUAGUAGGCUGGAUCUUAAUUUCUCUCUCCCCUCUCAUCAUAGUUGUGAUCUAUCAACCGAGGGGUUGGAUAUCAUUGCAGCAACUUUAGCACUAUCCGUUUCAACGAUGAACAGAAGUGAGCUCCAUUCCAAAGCAAGAGCAAUUCCCUCCUUGCACGCCGCGAGUUAUGUAGUUAGAGCAUUACCGCGUGUGAAGAGAUGUCGACACGAGCUGGAAAUAAUGCUACCAGAGCUGUCUCGUGUCUCGGAGCACCAUUCACGUGCCUACAUUGCCUGCAUGUGCUAUUCACCAUCCACGUUUAGUGUGAGCCACCCCAGCUUAGACGCUCUCCAGCUCUUAGGCUAGUCAUAGUGGAGAGUAUAUGUUACUAGUCUAUGUUAUUAUCUUUAUAUUGGGUAGUGUCAUAUAUGCGGUAACAUAGAUACCUUCAUUUAUUACUUUGUAGACUUAUUUUGCAUUAGAAAGCGUUAUGUGAUGGUAACAUAUUAUGUUACUCUAUUUGACCAUUUUACCUUUUUCUCGGUCUGCCGUGGUCAUCAAGAGUGCCAUGCGAGAUGUGCCUGAGAGCAGCUCAACCACGGCAAAGAGCCAUCCGGGCAUGUGUGCCGCACCGGCUUAAUGUCCCGGAGCAUCCAAUCUUUAGUCAUCGCCCUCCAAAGCUCGACUGCAUGAGGGCACUUACACAUUGCGUGGAAUUCAUCCUCGCUUUCCAGACCACACAGGGAGCAUAUGUCAGUGGUUUUCAAAUGAUAGGAGAGUUUAUUCACCCACGCUUGCAAGAGAAUUUGUGACAAGCCGCCAAGCAAACACACGUACCUUUGGGGGACCUGAUGGCGCGUCAACCAUCCGGUGCCAUGGCAAUAACCAACAGGCCAAAGAUGACAACAAACAAUGGCGUGGAGCACAGAUAAACUGGCGUGGCUACUAGAUGGUCCGUCAUCAAAAUAAUGAUUGGAACACCACUUCAUAUCCAAGGUGAAAACUACUAUUCUGGCCUUCAUUCAUUGGUUAGGCUCAGCAACGUUGAACUUGCGCUGUUACCUUAUCAAAGGUGUUACCUUGUUGCUAUUGUGCUAGUCUUCAAUGGUUAGUUUUGGCAACAAGAAUGAAAAUCCUCGUCUUGUUUGUCUUCCACCGGACGUGACCACAGCGAUGUGAGAGCGCUUAUUUCUUGAAAGAAGUCAGAUUAGUCAUAGAUGUUUGUUCUAUACAUUUCAUAAUGACUAAGCCGUGUUUGUCUUUUUCUAACUCUGCUUAAUAAUUAAUAAGAAUAAUUAUGUACAUUAUGAUGAUGCAGAGGCAAGAGUUUAACCUUUUUUGUUUGAAAAAAAUAGCAGUAGACGCUCGAUCCAUGUCUGGUUUGUACGACCGGCCGACGACGAACACACGUACGGUAGUGACAAGUACGGUAGUGGGACGAUCCUACGCGCCGACAGGACGACAGUGCCAAGACAACGCUAGGCUCCUCAGCUCUCUAGCUCAUUCCGGUGGCUGCGUCAGAUAAGCACGCCCGGACGUGGCAUCCGUCCGGUGCCUCGCCCAACGCGUGUCAAUGCGUCAGGGACAGCAAGAGGAGAGGCUUGCGUCCGCGUCGUCGCACACGCGCCGUCUCCUGCGCCCGCGACGCGCCUCCUCGCCGGCUAUAAAAUGGCGACGUCGCUACCUCCUCCAUCACCAGCAUCAAACAAGCAACCACAAGCACCGCACAAGCUGAAGCGGUAGAGCACACACGCUCCCUUCCAGUUGAGGUCGAAGUAGCUAGCGAGGAGUGAGCGAUGGCCUCCGGUCAGCAGGAGAGGUCGCAGCUGGACCGCAAGGCCCGCGAGGGCGAGACCGUCGUCCCCGGCGGUACCGGCGGCACCAACCUCCAGGCGCAGGAGAACCUCGCCGAAGGUACGUAGCAAUGCACGUCGACCUUAUGUGUUGGUGGCUUCGGCUACUCAUGUCGUGUCUACGGUGUUGGCAGGGCGCAGCCGCGGCGGGCAGACGCGCAAGGAGCAGAUGGGGGAGGAGGGGUACCGCGAGAUGGGGCGCAAGGGCGGGCUGAGCACCAACGACGAGUCCGGCGGCGAGCGCGCCGCCAGGGAGGGCAUCGACAUCGACGAGUCCAAGUUCAAGACCAAGUCCUAGAUGAUCCGUUAGCCUAGCAAGCAAGACGACUGCUUAGUUGGUUGGUUUACCUUGCAGGAUGAAUAAUGUAGGUCAGGGAUCCUGACGUGUGCACGCAUGUAGGAGAUCAUAUGUACUAGAUCAUGUGUGCUUGGUGGUUAAUAGUAGCCGGUAGUCCGUACUAGGUACUGAUGGUCAGUCAGAGUCGUGUGUCCGUGUCAGUCGGAAGUGUGGUUGUGGCUCCGGCGGCUGGUCCGGCCUCUCUUCCCACCAGCUUUCCGCUGUAUCCUUGUGUUUCCAGUAAUGUAAGUCGUCGUUGCUGAAAUCUGAAGCUUUGUAGUGUGCUA
rnacentral:lncRNA from 1 species